AGUUUUGCGGUGUAGUUGGUUAUCACAUUAGUCUAACACACUGAAUGUUCCCGGUUCAAGUCCGAGCGAAGCCA
rfam:Ipomoea nil DNA, scaffold: scaffold1570, cultivar: Tokyo-kokei standard.